rnacentral:tRNA from 2 species
GGGCUCAUAGCUCAGCUGGUAGAGCUCCCGGCCCAUAACCGGGCGGUCGAUGGUUCGAAUCCACCUGAGCCCACCA